rnacentral:rRNA from 1 species
UGGGGAAUAUUGGGCAAUGGGCGCAAGCCUGACCCAGCAACGCCGCGUGAGGGAAGAAGGUUUUCGGAUUGUAAACCUCUGUCCUAAGUGACGAAGGAAGUGACGGUAGCUUAGGAGGAAGCCCCGGCUAACUACGUGCCAGCAGCCGCGGUAAUACGUAGGGGGCAAGCGUUAUCCGGAUUUACUGGGUGUAAAGGGAGCGUAGACGGUUGAUCAAGUCUGAUGUGAAAGCCCGGGGCUCAACCCCGGGACUGCAUUGGAAACUGAACAGCUGGAGUGCAGGAGAGGUAAGUGGAAUUCCUAGUGUAGCGGUGAAAUGCGUAGAUAUUAGGAGGAACACCAGUGGCGAAGGCGGCUUACUGGACUGUAACUGACGUUGAGGCUCGAAAGCGUGGGGAGC